GACAGAACAGGAACACGUACAGGCGUCUCUGAUUUAGCAGAGGUUCAGUUCUCUGUGAGCCUUCUGCCAACAUGCAGUUUUGGGACUUCCUGGGCUGCACAAAUAGAGAUAUUUCCAGGAUAUCAUACUACACUGAAUAUGACAGCCAGUUAGCCCCAGCCGGAGCGUCUGAGUCAGGCAUGGCGUCGUCUUCCUACCUGGAGCCCAACCACAACCACUCGGCAACGGGUGGUUGUGGGGUUAAAUCCCGCUCUGGGAUGCCCGGUGGUACCACUGUUGGUACCAGUGGCUCUGCGGGGGGCCUCGAGCGCCCCCCAGGCUCCAUGGACCGUGUCCUGAAGAUCUUCCAUUAUUUUGAGACAAACAGCGAGCCGUGCACAUGGGCGAGUAACAUCAGGCACGGAGAUGCUACAGAUGUCAGGGGUGUUAUCCAGAAGAUAGCAGAGAUCCAUAAACUACGCUGUGUGUCCUCUCUGGGGCUCCGUCUGACUCACCUGCACUCUGAUGCACUUCAUUGGUUACACCCUGAUUUGGGUGUUUCUCAUGUCAGGGAGAAAUAUGAGAAACAGCACCCCCAGGAGGAAUGGAGGUAUGAGCUGCGGAUGCGCUACCUUCCUAAAGGUUAUCUCAGCCAUUUCUCUGAAGACAAACCCUCUCUCAACUACCUCUAUCACCAGGUAAAAAGUGACUACAUGCAUCAUAUAGCUGAUCAGGUGGAUCAAGAUGUUGCUUUGAAACUGGGCUGUUUGGAAAUCAGGAGGUUUUUCAGGGAGAUGCCAGGAAAUGCUCUAGACAAGAAAUCAAAUUAUGAACUACUAGAGAAAGAUGUUGGAUUGAGAAGGUUCUUCCCUAAAAGCCUUCUAGACUCCUUAAAGGCGAAGACUCUCCGUAAGCAGAUCCAGCAGACAUUUAAGCAGUUUGCAAACCUCAAUGAUGAGCAGAGCAUCCACAAGUUCUUUGAGAUUCUCUCUCCCAUCUACCGCUUCGACAAAGAGUGCUUUAAAUGUGCUUUGGGGUCUAGUUGGGUAAUAUCAGUCGAGUUAGCUAUUGGACCAGAGGAGGGAAUCAGCUACCUCACAGAUAAGGGCUCAAUGCCCACACACUUAGCUAACUUUAACCAGGUUCAGUCUAUCCAGUACUCAGCGCUGGAGGAGAAGGACAGAAAAGGCAUGCUGCAGCUCAAUGUAGCGGGAGCUCCAGAGCCGCUCACAGUCACCACGGCGUUGCUGACAACGGCAGAAAACAUGGCUGACUUGAUUGACGGUUACUGUCGACUCGUCUCCUCAGCUACUCACUCCUUCAUCGUCAGAGUCCACAAAGAGGGUGAUAGAGCUCUGCCUUCCAUCCCCAAAGUUUCGAAUCAUGAGAGACGGAUGGAAAAACGGAUGGACGGCGUACGAACCAGAGCUGUCUGCGUCUCAGGUCACACUAGUGGCGAUGAAACAGACGACUACGCUGAGAUCAUAGAUGAGGAGGACACAUAUACCAUGCCUUCAAAAUACUAUGGACUAGAUCAAGCGCGGGACUAUGAGAUUCAGCGAGAUCGUAUUGAGUUGGGACGCUGCAUAGGCGAGGGUCAAUUUGGAGAUGUCCAUCAAGGAGUCUACAUCAGCCCGGAGAACCCAGCACUCUCUGUGGCAGUGAAGACGUGUAAGAACUCCACAUCAGACAGCGUCAGGGAAAAAUUUCUCCAAGAAGCCUUGACCAUGCGUCAGUUUGACCACCCUCACAUUGUAAAGCUGAUGGGAGUCAUCACUGAGAAUCCAGUCUGGAUCAUCAUGGAGCUCUGCACACUUGGAGAGUUACGGUCAUUUCUUCAGGUGAGGAAGUACAGUCUGGACUUGGCUACUCUCAUCUUGUACUCAUAUCAGCUCAGCACAGCUCUGGCAUAUCUGGAGAGCAAACGCUUCGUACACAGGGACAUCGCAGCAAGGAACGUGUUGGUGUCUACAGUUGACUGUGUGAAGCUCGGUGACUUUGGGUUGUCACGUUACAUGGAAGAUAGCUCUUAUUACAAAGCAUCUAAAGGUAAACUUCCAAUAAAAUGGAUGGCUCCUGAAUCCAUUAACUUCAGACGAUUCACCACAGCCAGUGAUGUCUGGAUGUUUGGUGUCUGUAUGUGGGAGAUCUUAAUGUUUGGCAUCAAGCCUUUCCAGGGAGUGAAGAACAACGAUGUCAUUGGCAGGAUAGAGAAUGGCGAGCGACUGGCCAUGCCCCCUCAGUGCCCUCCUACUCUUUACAGCCUGAUGACAAAGUGUUGGUCGUACGACCCGAGCAAGAGGCCGCGCUUCACAGAACUCAAAACACAGCUGAGCACUAUUUUAGAGGAGGAGAAGGUCCAGCAGAAGGAGAGGAACAGGAUGGAGAUGAGGAGGCAGGUCACCGUUUCCUGGGACUCAGGAGGGUCUGAUGAAGCACCGCCCAAACCCAGCAGACCAGGUUACCCAAGUCCUCGCUCCAGCGAAGGUUUUUACCCCGGUUCCCAACAUCCUGGACACUACCAGAUGGCAGGGUACCCUGGCCCUCACACCCUCCCCUCGGUGCCAAGCGCCCUAUACCCCCCACAGGCUACGAUGCUGGAGACACACCAUGCACACACGCACCCCCGCCACCAUGUCCACACACACUCGCAUGCAGCACAGCACCUUCCUCAGCCACAUGGACACGACAUGGCACUUUGGGGCUCGGCUAUGGAGGACAGGGCAGUAGACAUGCAGCAGUGUGUAGGCCCGCAGUGCCUGUUAAUGGAGGAACAGCUGAUGAUACAACAACAGCAGAUGGAGGAGGACCAGAGGUGGCUGGAAGAGGAGGAAAGGCUGCUGCUUUAUUCAGCACUAUUGGAGGACAACAGUGUAUCUUUGCAUGGGUAUGUACAGUUUCUGCAAAACCAGGAACAUUUACUGAAAAAGAUUAUUGAAACAGCUGAGACUGUGGCUUCCAUUUUUUUAAUGUUGUUAGGCAUGUGAAAGAUGGUAAAGUGAGUUGUUGUUGUUCUCUGUUGCGCUAAAUGCUGUCUUGCUUGAUUUCCAUGUUUGGAUUUUCAGUUUCACUGUUUUAUUGUUUUUGUUAACUCCAUGAUGCAUGUUGUGUUUCUAUAAUUUUGUUUUCUGAAAUUCAUCACAUACCCCAAAAAGGACAAGUGUAAUGUUAAGUUAAAAAUUCAGUGUUGCAUUGGGGCAGUGGUAGCAUAGUGGUUAUGUCUGUGUGCCCCAUGUGCGGAGGCUGUUGUCCUCUACAUGGGCAGCCUGUGUCUACUUCCCAUACACCAUUCCCCACUUUCUCAGUACAGUCUGGUUACAGACUGCCACUCUUAGACUCCUGCAUUUGCAGACCACCACUGUCAGGACAGAAAUACAUGCAACAACUUUAUAAAUAAAGUUUGAUUACACUUCUGGUGUGGUAAUGGCAGAGUGGGUUUGGAACGGCCUGAAGGACAGAAAAUGUACCUUUUUUGUAAGAUAUAUUUUUGGGCCUUUACAUCUUUAUUUAGAGAGUAGGCAGGUGGAUAGAGUCAGAUUCAUGGAUUAGAGUGGAGAAGAGACAUGCUGGUCAAGCAAGGCAGGCUGGACAUAUCGUUUAUAUUAGAAAAUUCAAGCCUUAUACACCAGAAAUAACUAACGUGACAAGACCUAAUUAACAGGGAUAUAACGGUAUCAAUAUUCAUGGUAUGAUAUUACCUUGGUAUGAAGUCCACUGUACAGUAAUUAUUGUGGUAUCUCUGGCAUGCAUUAGGCUUAAAAAUAUAUAGUUGUACUUCAGCUCCAGUGCGUUUACUAACCCUCUAAAACCUCUGUUGUCCACCACUGAAAAUAGCUGUAGGUCUUUGGUGACAUACAGUAUAUACCAGCGCACCUUGUGAUCCGUUGAGCGAUCACGCUGUUGUAGGAAAGUGGGAUUGUGCAUGCUUCUUUAAGAGUCUUUUGGCCUGGCACUGGUUAAUCUCAGGCGGUAGAGCAGGCACUCAUAUAGAGACUGUAGUCCUCAACACCUGUUUUUGGGACUUCUUCCUGCUCUCAGCGCAUGUUUGGUGCCUGUCUUCUCCCACUCUCUCUCCCCAUGUUUUCUGUCUCUCUUCUGUGGUCCUUUUAACAAUAAAGGCAAAAAGCUCAAAAUCAGAGUCUUUUGGCCUGAGCGGAAUCUGCUCCUUGUACCUUUGUGAAUCUUUUCAGGGUGAUGAUUUGCCAAGUGGCUCCUUAUGUUACUCAUAUUCCCUAUCAAACUGCACUUUAGCCCUUAAGUCCUUCUGUUUAAAACUGUCACAUGUCCACAACAAAACUGGGACGCUUCUGUCACAGCGAUACUGAUACAUCUCUACUUGUUACAAAACGUAGCUGUAGCGUAUACAGCAGCUGUCUAGUGUUCUUACAGAAAAAGCCCAUGCUCAAUGAAAACACAGCAAAUGAAGCUAAAGCUAGUAGCUUCCUGUAACUACUUCUAAAAUGGCAAUGAUAUUUACAAUCAACAUUUUUCAGGAAACAGCCCUUUUUGUGUUUUUAUUGAUCAAUUUGAUUUUAUUGUAAUAUGUUUUUAACAUUGAACCAUGGGCUGUGCCUACAUCUUUGAGCCUAGACUGUAAAUAGGAAGUGAGGUCAACGACCUUGUCAACUACCUGUUGAGGUGUCAAAUUGUAUUUUGACCAUGGCAUUUUGAUUAGUUUUAUUAAUUGAGCUGGGAGUAAUAUUAGAUCUAUUGACACUCCAAAAUUUCAGAGCAGAAAUCUGCUACAUUUGUUAAGCUUUUACUUAGAAAACAGCUUUAUUUUAAAGGGAUGUAAGUGACUUUAACUCUGAAUUGCCUUUCUCCAGAUGUGAUUCACAUACUGUUUGCUAAAUCUGUACUUAUGAAGGAACCUACUUAACCCAAAAUAUAGUGAUUUUGUUUUGUGCUCUCUACUUUCUAUCAGUGUAUCAUCCAAUUCUCCUGUUCAUUUCACCAAAGUGGGAGUUUUUCAGCCUUAAAUUCAUAAUGGCUGACUCAGAAUUGUAGGGCAACUUUUAUUUAUAACAGAAUGAUGGAUUCAUAGAGGGUUUGUUGUUAUGAAGUGUAAAAUGAGAGAUUCAGAGACUCUGUUAGAUAACUACCAGGGGGAAAGAGGGGAGGAACUUUUCAUGUAGGAUGCAUAUUUCUGUGAACUCUGAUUGAGGGAGCUGUCUGGGGUCUGCUCAAGAAUUUUAUUGUGCAUGCCUGUGUGAGCAUGUGUGUGUGUUUUAGUGUGUAAGAGAGAGGGAUUUUGUAGGCAGGUGUGGUCUAUGUGAAUUCCAGGCUAAUGAUAGGCUUAGAGACUCUGACAGCCCAGUCAACAGUCUGUCUUUGACCCACAACCACUAACUGACAACACACAAGAUUACUGAAAAGCUAGGGAGGCAAAAUGUGUUUGAGAGGGUGUGUGUGUUAUAGGCUGCCUUUUUCUAUAAAACUGUCACUUCAGGGAGGGGUAAAAAAGGGAGGAGAGAGAAAUAAUGGUUUGGGAAAGACGGGAAGACAUGCUCGCACACUGACAGCUCCUUGGCUGUGUGCUCCAUCCCUCCUCCUUCUCCUCCUUCUCUCCGUCCCUCAUUUGGUGCGUCAGAGUCAGAUAUAAAUGAGCUGGAGGCAGGAGGCUGGGGCUGAAUCUGAAUUUUUGUCUUGAUGAAAGCUUUGGCACAGACAGGGAAACAGGCUGGUAGACAGACAGGAAGCACAAGAAGAAGAUAAAUCUGGAGAGAGAAAUAUAAACCGACACAACACUUGAAGCAACUUGGAGAUUAAAAAUAAGUUUUAUUGAGAAAACUUUGAUGAACCCAAUGGCAAUGCUGGUCUUCAAGUCCUGUCUUGGAAAACUGAAACCAGACUCGAGAAGUUCUAGAGGGAGUCUGGACAGAGACGAUGGUGGACUCCAACCACCGGCGGGAAACCAGCACAUAUACCAACCCGUUGGCAAAGCAG